rnacentral:rRNA from 1 species
UACGUAGGGGGCAAGCGUUGUCCGGAAUUAUUGGGCGUAAAGGGUGUGUAGGCGGUUUUCUAAGUUUGGUGUGAAAUCUCCCGGCUCAACCGGGAGGGUGCGCCGAAAACUGGGAGACUAGAGUGCGGGAUGGGAGAGUAGAAUUCCUGGUGUAGCGGUGGAAUGCGCAGAUAUCAGGAGGAACACCGGUGGCGAAGGCGGGUCUCUGGGCCGUUACUGACGCUGGGGCGCGAAAGCGUGGGGAGCGAUCCGG